rfam:Spinacia oleracea cultivar SynViroflay scaffold26254.con0001.1, whole genome shotgun sequence.
UGCAAUCUAUGAUGAUUUUUUUCGAAUUAUCAUGAGUUAAUUUCAAUGAUUAAUUUGAUAAAUAAUCACCAACUUUCAGCUGAGAUUGCA